rnacentral:rRNA from 1 species
AAGUCGAACGCAGCAGCUUCGGCUGGCUGCGUGGCGAACGGCUGAGGAACACGUGGGUGACCUGCCCCAGAGUGGGGGAUACCCCGUCGAAAGACGGGAUAAUCCCGCAUACGCUCUACGGAGGAAAGCCCCUACGGGCGCUCUGGGAGGGGCCUGCGGCCCAUCAGGUAGUUGGUGUGGUAACGGCGCACCAAGCCGCUGACGGGUACCCGGUCUGAGAGGACGACCGGGCAGACUGGGACUGCGACACGGCCCAGACUCCUACGGGAGGCAGCAGCAAGGAAUUUUCGGCAAUGGGCGCAAGCCUGACCGAGCAACGCCGCGUGCGGGAUGACGGCCUUCGGGUUGUAAACCGCUUUUCGGGGGGACGAC